AGUUCUCCUUUAUUGAGGUAGAUAGCAGAGUGGUACCAUGAGAGGAGUAGAACAGGAAUAAGACAGAAUUGAGAUCUUUCAAAGUUCUGGCCCAAGCAAGGGGGUAUGGGGGCUUCAUUUGAGCUCUCCGCCUCAGGUGCCAAAAUGUUGUGGGCCGGCCCUGUAAGUAUUUGUGUAUGUAUUUGUGUGAAAUGACACUGUACCAACUACAGCUAUUCCUACCUUGCCUUACCUCAUAAUACUGGGUAUAUGCCAGAAGAUCUAUGCAGACCCGUGUAUUUUGCAUGUAGAUUUAACCAUAAACAUCACUGUAAACUGCAACCUGUUAAAUAUCUGUCACUAUUUCACUGUCUCCAUAAGUGUGUAUAGCUACUCAGCGGAAGUUGACACUGUAUCUAACACUCCUCAGUAGGAGCUCUAGUUUGAUGUUUUGGAGCAGUAGUCUGAAAAAUGGAGCUUCUGCUUGAAUUAAUGGAAAAUUAACAGUAUUCAAAAUUGUUGUAAGAUAAACUCUGUAUUUCUUAGUUGUUGAGUUAAAAUAUCCACAUAAAGGCCCUACCUCAAGAGGCGUGAGAAACCCUGCUUUUUCAUGCAUUCCAAUAUGAGAUAACCUUUCUGUCCCACUCUCCAUGAUCAGAUUCUUAAAAUGGCAACUUCCUAUUCGACGGUCAGUUAUUCUCUCUUUUUUUAAAACUAUUUGUUUAAAACUAUUUGUUAGUGAUUUACUCUUUGUUUUCAUAUAGGCAUUAAAACACACUUUCUAUUAAAUUAGACUCUUUUCCAUACCUGAUUGAAAUGCCCAGAUCUGAAUCUUACUUGUUAAUAGAAGCAUCAGGCAUUUUUGCUCUUUUUUGGAGCACACCCAUAAUGAGCUUAGAAAAUAAUGAGUGGAAAUUGCUACUAAAGAGGAAGGUCAUCUUCUGGGUAUAUAUAGUCAAAUACUGCCGGAUAUUCUUUAAGAACAAUAGAUAACUAUUCAUUACAUCUAUUUCAAAGCUGACUCUUGGCACAGCAACAUUCUGGUAUUUUCCCUAUGCAAACAAACUUCUAAAAAUGCCUCUGAUCUUGAGCAUUAACAUAAACAACUUUAUAACACAUUGUAAGUGACUUUUGCAUCUGUUUGUCUGGCAAUUUAUUAAUCAGGACACAUGCUGCUUAAUACAUUAUUCUUUUGGUAGAAAGCAUUAAGAAUUAAUAUUUUUUUUAUUCUUUUAGAGAGAGAAAUACUUUUGGGGGAUUAACUUUGUUUCCUUUGUGCCUGUUGUAAACAUAUCUAUUGUCUAUGGAUUGAGGCAGCAGGUCCAGCACAAAAGAGGAAACUUUCUAAAGGCUGAGGAAAACAUUCUCUAAACACAAUGAGAACUGCCUGUUGUCAUAAUAUGGACCAGACGAAAUGCUGCUCAGCCCCAGCCUGGAUGAAAGAGCACAGUACUGGCUAUGGCAGCAACAGUGAGCUUUGAAGAGAGUAUUCCUGCAAGGCUGAACAGAAAAAGGAGAACCUGACUAGCUGGUACAGGGACAGACAUGGAGGCAGUUUGAGCUACAGAACGCAUGUGGCAGAAUACAUGGGAAGAGGCCAAAGGAAAAGGAAAACACCACAAAGCUCUCCUUGUGGAAUGUUUUGUGAAGUCUGUAUCCUCUCAAGAGGAAGGGACUUGGAGGCCUAUGGAAUUUGGAAUGGGUGAGGCUUCCUCACCCUUAGAUAUUACUGUCCCACAAAUCAAUGCCAGAACGACCCAACCACAUAGAUAGCUCUUGCUUGCAUGCUGUUUCAUGGAUUCCCUAGUCUGGCUCCUGCAGGAACCCUGCUGUCAUUGCUCAGAAUCAGCUGCAGACAAGACCUGGAUGGAGUUUAUACAGUGCUAAACUGUACUCCUUCCUGGAUUCCCAUGUGGUAAGGAUGGAACA